CUCCUGACCUCGGGUGAUCUGCUCACCUCAGCCUCCCAAAGUGCUGGGAUUACAGGCGUGAGCCACUGUGCCCAGCCUGCGGCAGCUUUCUGAUUCUGUGUUCUUGGCUAACAGGAGCAGUAGCUUUCUGAUUCUGCAUUGCCUGUUGAUGAGGGGUAGCAGCUUCCUUGGUGGUUCAGUGUGGUUUGGCACUCAUUCUUGGAAGUUCAGUCUUCCUUUUAGCCCUUGUAUUCUGUGAGCUCCAUGUACCCACUAACAAAUCUGUUUGUACUUUAACCAACUGGAUUGGAUUGUCUUGUCUGUAACUAAGAACUUGGACCAGAGUGGGUAAGUCACAGCAAUAUCUCAUGGUUAGACGAAGGUGGAAGUGACCUUGGUGUGUGCCCUGGUUCACUGCGGGGUCACUAACGGGACCUCAGACGAAGCAAUUUUGAGAGAUAGGAUCUAGCAAAUUCAUGGGGGGAGACCACUGAACUCCACUGAUGAACUGCCGUCACUACCCUCAAAAAUGUCUUUCUGAGGAAUGAUCGCUGCACAAUGAGGCCUUUUUUGCAGUGAAUGACUUGUGGAUAGCAUGAUACCAUAUUGUAUUAUUUUCAAUAUGUAAAGAGUUUGUUACAGAAUUGAUAUGCACCAAGAGUUAAAAAAAAUACGGAAUGUCAAUAAGAAGGCAAUUGGGGUAACAUUGUCAGGAGUUGGGAGAGAUGUAAUGUGCUGUUCACUAGAGACAGACAUGCCCUGCUCACAUCUACCCCCUACAAGAGGAGUCAGGAUUCUGACUUCUCACGGCAUGAUAUCUAAAUAGAAUUUUUAGGAUGCAUCCUUUUGCACUGAACUUCUUUCAUCAGCAUUUUGUGCGUGAGGUCCGUCCCUGCUGUUGUGCGUGGGGUCUGUCCAUGCUGUUGUGUGUGACGUCCAUGUAUGCUGUUGUGUGUGGGGUCCGUCCAUGCUGUUGUGCGUGGGGUCCGUCCAUGCUGUUGUGCGUGGGGUCCGUCCAUGCUGUUGUGUGUGGGGUCCGUCCAUGCUGUUGUGUGUGGGGUCCGUCCAUGCUGUUGUGUGUGGCGUCCAUCUCUGCUGUUGUGUGUGGGGUCCGUCCAUGCUGUUGUGUGUGGUUAUAGCUUACUCACAUUUAUUACUUUAGUAUUCCAUUGUGGCAUUUCUCUACAUAUCAUGUUUAAUGUGGACAAUUCUGUCCAAGCCUAGUUCCUCUUAUAUAGGGUGGGUAAAUUCUCCUGGACAUUCUCCCUAUCUCAUUUAGGACCCAUUAGUCUUAACUCUCUGAAUGAUGGUUGGAUGGGUGGUUGUUGCUUUACCUUCAUUUUCUGUACACCCGCAGUCCAUGUUCUUUGUGGAGAGGAGGGUGUAGUAGGCAGGAUCAGCUCUUUGGGGAUCAAGUGCAGUCAUUGGUGGGGGUCCUGGGCUUUUAUUUUCUUCGGAGCCAUUGACAUGUCCUGCUGGGACUCACUCCACCCAGCCAUUGCUGGGUGCCAGCCACCCUGAUGGGCUUCACCUGUUCCCUCAACUCAGCCCAGUUCCCUGGAGGAGACCGGACAACACUUCUGCCUUCUGCCUCUGGCAAGGCUAUGAUGGGGGCAUCACUGAGGGUUUUCCUUAGAAUUUUUCCUUCUGGCCAGGCAUAGGGCACACGCCUGUAAUCCCAGUACUUUGGGAGGUCAAGGUGGGAGGGAUCGCUUGAGCCUAGGAGUUCGAGACCAGCCUGGGCAACAUGGUGAAACCCCAUCUCUACAAACAAACAAAAAUUUUCCUUCUGAAUUUUCUGCUUUUUUUCCCCCCUGACUGCCAUUUUGUUUUAGUUGCCACUAUUGUAUAUUGGGUAUUCAAACAUUUAAAAUUUUGCAUUUCUUCAGGUAUUAGAGAACAGAGAUUCUGUGAUCUUGUUUUCCUCUGCUAUCUUUGCCUUUUAAUAGGUUUUGCUUUAGCUGCAGUAGGAUGCAGGUGAAAGCAGUUUAUAACAUGAAAUAAACAAAAUUGUGGAAACUCAUUCUAGUCAAAGAUCCUAAGAUGGUCAUUAUUUUGCCAGAAGAUGGUAGCAAAGUUACAAUCAGACCUUAAGUAAAAGUUUUCAGUCUCAACACCCAAUAUAAACAAACUAAACCAAAUGAAAACAAAAAACAAGAACAAAGUAGGAAAACAAUGAAAUGUCACCUGUUUAUUGAAUAUAUGAUUAUCUUUUAAUUUCUAUUUUUAGAACUCAGUAUUAUUUACAGAAAAAAGCUAUAAAAUAAGAAUGACCUCUGAAGUUUGAUAAAAAUGAAUGAUUAUUAAAAAAUUCUCUAGGAGUCAAAGGCUCUUCAUCAACCUAAAUUUCUACCAUGUCAAUAGUACUCCCUAUUGGAAUUGGAAAUGAAAUUAAUGGCAAACUAAAGAAUUCACAACAUUCUAUACAUUUUCACAAUGGUAUGUCAUUUGUCAAAUUAUGUUAGUCAACACAUUCUCCAAUAGGAGAAUACUAGGAAAGACGCUAAGAUCCAAUAAUUAAAAUAUUCUCUUAAGACUAUCAUGAUUAAAUUAUAAAAUAUUGGAGUAAAGAGAUGAGGAGAAGAACCUAAACAAAUACUUUAUUUUCUUGCUUCCAUUUUCACUCCUGUUCGGAUUGUUCCAGCAUUCCUUCACCUCGUUUUCCAGUGUUGUCCACCCAAGUGCCAUUCAUUCAUUCAACUUCAGUUCAUUCAUUCAACUCAUUCAUUCAUUACUUACCCUUUAUUGAGCCUACUGUAUGUCAGUCACUGUUCUGGAUGCUGGAGAAAUAGCAGCGACCAAGACAAAUAAGGAGCCUGCUUGAAUGGAGCUUGCAUGCCAGUGCAGCGCUAUCCCACAGGACAUUCUGACAGUGAUGAUUGUACUGUGCUGUCCAAUCCAGUAGCCACUGCCUCAUGUGGCUGCUGAACACUUGGAGUGUGGCUGGUGGCCUUUCUACUGGACAGAUAAGUUUUGGUGGAUGACAGAGACAGCAAGCUACCAAACAAAUACAUGGAAGAAUUUUGGAAAAUGAUAAGUGGUUCAAAGACUUCAGGAGUGGAAUUGUUGGAUCAUUGUUGGCCAUAGUAACUCUGUGCUUAAUAUUUUGUGGAACUGUCAAACUGUUUUCUAAGUUGCUGUACCAUUUUACAUCCAUGUCAGGUCAGCAGUGUACGUGAAUUCCAACUUUUCUGCGUCCUCACUUUGAGAUUUUCAGAGGAUACACUUAUUGCCCAAAACCUUGUAUAACAUAGCUUUUAGACAUUUUUGUGAAACUGAGUCUGAGUUUUGCUGUCAAUUGACAAGUUCCUGGUGAUUGGAUUCCUCUGUGCUCUGGACAUGAAUGCAAAGGCCAGUCCCGUAUGAAGUCAUUCGUUUUAUUCUUUAUAGUUUUCCUUCAGGGCUGACCAGUUCAUCAUAGAGUUUGGUGAGCAGGGUAGGGAGGGGACACAUCUUUUAGCAAGCUCAAGAGAAGGAAGUCUAGUUGUUUAGAAAGAAAGCAGAUCAAAGUUUUAGAACAACAUGUCUGGAAGGAUUACCUUCUAAGAUGUACUUCUCUAGCUCCAGUAUUCUCUAAUUUAUGUAAGAAACUCACAGGUCAACCAAUCGAAGCCCACAACUGACCAAGGAAUUCCUUCUCUUACCUGCUUUUCAGAUUGACUUUUUGUUUUAAGACUUAAUUUUUUUUAGAGUUUUAAGUUCACAGGAAAAUUGAGAGGAAGACAGAGAUUUCUUAUGUGUUUUCUGCCUGACACAUACACAGCCUCCCCCAUUAUCAACAUCCCCUACCAGAGUGGAGCAAUUGUUAUAAUGGACGAACCUACCGAUUGGCACACCCUCAUCACCCAGAGUCCAUAGUUUCCCUGAGGGUUUCCUCGCGGUGCUGUACAUGCUGUGGGCUUGGGCAAAUGUAUAAUGACACAUGUCCACCAUCAUGGUAUCACACAGAGUAUUUCCACAGCUCCCACAUCCUCUGCGCUCCACCUGUUCUUCGCUUCCCCGCACAGUGACUUUCUGUUUGAACAUUUGAGACAAUGGGAGGUCACUAUGGCUUCAGGAGACAAUUCUAUCUUUGGAAGUCUGUAAUUUUUCGAAUGACUCUCUAUAUAUUGAGCUGUAGUUUAUUGCUCCAUAGGGUCACCCUAGUUUAUGCUUUGGGAGCCAAAAAGGAAAGGUUGACUCUUCUUUUCACUUGACGACCUGUCAGGCAACCCACCAGUGCCCUGGAAAAAAUCCACCCAAGGUUCUCCAGGAGGCCACGAGGAGGAAGCCUUCAGGCAGGCUGCUCCAUUGCCGGGGCAUUUCUCCCUACACCCUCCUAUUAACGACAGCUGUCAUGGUCUCCUUUGCCUUAUGGGGAGUCAUAUUCCCCUGCCCCCCAGCCCAGCUUCAAUGCUCCUUCUUAUGUCCCUUAAUUCCCCACAGCACAGCCGAGACGACAGUAAUUCCCUGCUACUGUUCAUAAGUUUUUGGUAAAAACAGUGAUUUGCAGCUAAGGCUUGCGCUUGCGUUUUGGAGGCCUCAGGCGCGUUUGAACCACACAGGCGUCCAAGGAAAGAAGAGGGCAUGCGCAACGAUUUUAUUCCAAACCCACCUCUCUUUCAACAUCUGCUUUGCUCCACCCUCCUUGCAGCUUCUGGCUGAGGCCAGCACAGUGUGAUCAGUUGAUCCGAAGGGAGAGACGGGUGCUGCAGACUCAGGCCACUGUUUCCACUUGCGCUCAGGGCGGGCAACAGACCUGGGGGUUCUGAGGAGGUGGGAGCCUCCUCCCGGCAGCAGACAGCGCAGACUGAGGAAGCAAGUCCUCACCGGCCUACCUGCUCCCCUUCUUCUCAGUCCCAUCGUAGUUACUUUUUCAUUUACGCUUUUUCUUGAUUUGGCAAAGACAAGGUGAAAUCCAGAUAGAAAACCUGAGCAUGGUUGCUGUUUCCAAAAGGAAAAGAAAUAAUAAACUGAAAAGAUGAAGAAGAGAAUUGGGUAAAGGAAAUAUUUAUGACUUUUCUUCUUACACGUGUCUGUUUGGGGGUGAAAGCUACAGGCUAGGAAGGAGAAGCAUGUUUCAGCCACAGCGUCUGUCAGCGAGGGUUUGCAUUCAGCCCGGCCUUUGGUAGGAGUGGACUUGGAAGAUUUCUUCUAGCCUUAAAAUUCCAUAAUUCUGUUUCCACAGAACAAAAUUCCACAAACUCCUCUGGCAACAGAACUUCAAUUUCCAAUGUUUCGCAAGUCCUAGAGUCAGGAAAUUUCAUGGAAAUCUCCUAGCAAAAUCAACUGUAAUCCAUGGUAUACUUCCAAGCAUGUCCACAGGGAAAGCUCCCCUUAGGGUGUGGGGGUAUGCACCGUGAGGAGGGCCAAGCAUUAAAGAACAUUUCUCUGCAUCGAUGAACUCAAUCAAUCUGAAUUCUGGAAUGUUUUAAGGGAAAGAUGAAAACCUCUGGGAAUGAAAUUCAGGAAGCUGCACGUGCUUUUGCUUCACAGUUGCAGGGACCCCCUGAAGUCAGGAACGGGGAGACAGCUCUCAGGCACUUCAGGUGCAGUAGCAGCGCUCACUGGCUAGUACAGACGCCAAGUCUCCACACCAGGGCAUUGCGGAGACCCCACCUGCCUUUCCAGACACUAGCGUGUUUCCCAAUGCCUUAGAAUUCAUCCAGAUGCCUUCACUGUGUACUCCUGGUAUUUGCUUUCAGAAAUGACUCCAUUUUUCACAAGAAGAUAGAUAGCUUUGUUUACUUGUACAGUGUUGUCUUCUUAUAACGUCCUGACCAUGACAUAAGCAUAGGAUUUGAGUUUGGGUUUGAGUCUUGGCUCUGCCACGUGUUGGCAGUGGGGCCAUUGUCAAAUUGCUUAGCUUCUCUGAGCUUCAAUUUUCUCAUCUGUAGAAAAGGGAUGAUAUUAGUAACAGUAUUAUCAAGGGAAUAGGUGAAGUGAACGUUUUAUCAUGUCUGAGCAUAUAUAGAAGAUGCUAUGUAAGGAAUUAUUCUUGCUUUUCUCCUUGUCAGUGAGCCUAUGACAAUAUAGUGCUCAAUCAAACACUGGCUAAUCAAACAAGUGGCUAAUCAAACAAAUUCAAUACGUGGGAUAACCAGCCAUAUUUCCAUAUUCACCAGUGCUCAGGAACUCAUCCUCCAAGUCCUCACUGGUUGUAAUUUGUUUUAUAAAUCACCCAGAAGAAGCUGAGAGGAGAGGUGUUGGUUGUAUUUUGGGAGCAGAAGGGGACAGUAGGGAAAGGGCUUCUGUUCCAAGCAUUUUAGUGGAAGCACAAGCACCACACAGCUGCGGGAGACCACAGCCCCUUCUCACGCGGCGUUGGGAAGCCUUUGAGUCAGCCUUUGAUCUCUGCUCCUCCCUAAGCACUCUGCUGUGCCUUUGGGGCUGUUCCCGCUUCUGCCUCUGCUCCCUGAGGGUCCCUGCCUUCCACUGGCAUCCGCAUUGGGCCCCGAUUCUCUCAGGAAAAGCCCCAAGAUCAACUCAUACCCUCUUCUUAGAAAUUCCUUUCGUCUCUUUCUCUCAGGGGUUUGCUCUGUUUGCUAGGCCAGUCCAUAGAGUACAUAUCGGCAGUUGAGCCCAACAGGUGAGAAAGGGCCCAUGUAUUAGACGUCUCCCAGGAACCCUCUAUGUUUUCCACAGGUGUCCUCCAUGAUCUCAAGUGAUUGGAAAGCAAGACGGCAAGUAGAGAAGGAAGGCUCUGAAGAUCAGUUACUUUGGGUCCUCUUAAAUUUCAGUAUGUAAAUGACUUCUAGUGGUUUUCCAUGCCCUGGGCAUUGGGAGUAGACGAGAGGAAGGGAGUUUGGGGAGUUUCGGAGUUGUUUGGCCCCACCAACUUCUCUGGUCAGUAAGAUACGGAGUACUGGUGGUAUGCAGGGGCUCCCCAAAGAGCAUCUAAAAUGAAGGUGCCCAUUCUGAUCCCAGGGAAAACAAUAACAGACCAGCAUUUGCAUGUGGUUAACGAAGUCUUUCAAUCUUAUAAUCUCUCAUGGUCUAGACCAGAACCAUCCAAUAGAACUUUAUGUGAUCAUUUUAUGUUUAAAUUAAAAAUUCUGUUUUGUGGUCACAAGAGCCACAUUUCACACACUCGGUGGCCAUGUAUGGUUAGUGGCUACCCUACCAGACACGGCAGGUCCAGACAGCAACUGUGUAAAUGUGGGGUGGACAUUGCUGUGCUCACUUGAUCUACUAAUCAAGGUCUAUGUGAGGCAGGAGAAGGGGGUCUGGAGGCAGGGAACAUAAGGCUGAUUCACGCUGACUUCCUAGAACUAAAUCAAAUGGAAACACUUCAGCUAUGACAGGAAAUAUCCUCUCCAUUUACAUAGGGCAUACCCUGAGUAAAUGACUUGUAACUUUAUUUCAUCCUCUUCAUUUACAUAGGGCGUACACCAAGUAACCAGUGGAAACCUCUAGAGGGUAUUUAAACCCCAGAAAAUUCUGUAAUGGGGCUCUUGAGCCCCUAUGCUUGGGCCACUCGCACUCUGUGGAGCAUACUUUCAUUCAGUAAAUCUCUGCUUUUGUUGCUUCA